rnacentral:lncRNA from 1 species
ACCCGGAAUCUCUCUAUUGCUCUAGUUGUCAUGUCAAAAAACUACUUAGACAGACUAUGAAGAGAUACAUAGGGUGAGAAACGGAGGCCUUCAGCCAACAGCUGGGAGAAGCUGAGUCCCAUCAGCCAUUCAAAAGACUGCAGCCCCAGCCAAGAGUUUGAUGUAACCUCAGGAGAGACCCUGAGCCAGAACCACCUAGAAAAGCUGGGAUACAUGAAGACUGCCAUCCCUUGAGUCACUUGCCCUGUAGCUGCCACUGUUGGAAAAGGGCUUGCUUCUGUGUCCUUGUGCCCACUUUGAAAAUCCCUGGGAAGUCCUUGGAGUCAGAUGAGCAGGCCUCCGCCACUCUGCCAAAAAGUCUGUUCAAUCAGGAGUCCCCAACCCCUGAGCCAUGGACUGAUAUGGAGCUAUGGUCUGUUAGGAACUGGGCUGCCCAGGAGGAGCAAUGGUGCUUCUACAAUUUCCUUAUAGGAGGAGUGAAGAGUAAGCAUUUGGAUUGGACCAGGAUUUGGAGAACUUGUCAUGUUGCUCUACGUGCAUAUGAAAUACAUCAUUGUAACUUAGAAUGUGAAUUACAGAACAAACAUGAAAGUUAGAAAAAUAUUCUAAACAUAUUUUUAUGAUCUCUACUUGCAAUAAGGAAACUGUUAGGCUUUUCCAUCAAAGAAUAAGUGCAACAAAAACAAAAAUUUCUGGAUGGAAAAAAGGAGAUUUGAGGGGCAAGGCUAAAGCCCCCCAAACCUUCCUCAGGAUGAACACAAACCCCAUCUUUAUUUUCCUGUUGCCACUGUUCCAUGUUGCUGGGCUCUAUUCCAGCAAAAUUUUGGAAAGCGUUGCUACAGUUCUGCUCAUUUCUUUCUCACUUCAGAACAAUGAUGCCCUUUCCAGAUAAAGCAUCUUAAUUAAACAGAUGACAUUUGAACUAGACCUUGAAGAACAGGUCAGAGUUAUAUUGGGAAAGAAGUAGGAGAGGAACACCCAGAAAAUAACAUUUAUGAACAUAAAGGCACAGAAUAUAAAUGUCUCUGACAAAGACAGAAAUCAAGGGUAAAUUUUAGUGUGGCAUAGAUUAAUUCACUAACUCAAUAUAUAUAUAUUUACAUAGAGAGCAUGGAUAGAUACUAGAAAUAAAACAAUGGAUUAGACAUGGGCAACCUCAUGAUGUUUAGCAAAUAUUGUGUUCUUUAAGGCAGCAGUUCCCAACCUUUUUGGUACUAGGGACCGGUUACGUGGAAGACAAUUUUUCCACAGACUGGGAUGGGGGGACUGUUUUCAAGACAAUUCAAGCACGUUACAUUUAUGGUGCACUUUAUUUCUAUUAUUACUGCAUUGUAAUACAUAAUGAAAUAAGUACACAACUCACCAUAAUGUGGCAUCAUUGGAAGCCCUGAGCGUGCUUUCCUGCAACUAGACAGUUCCCUCUGGGGCCAAUGGGAAACAAUGACAGAUCAUCAGGCAUUAGAUUCUCAUGAGGAGCCCGCAACCUACAUCCCUCACAUGCACAGUCCACAAUAGGAUUCAUGCGCCUAUGAGAAUCUAGUGUCAUGGCUGGCAGAUAUAACAGAAGAUGGAGUUCAGGCGAUAAUGUGAGUAAGAGGGAGCGGCCAGAAAUACAGAUGAAACUUCACUCACUCACUUGCCACUCACCUCCUGGUCUGCGUCCUGGUUCCUAACGGGCCAUGGAUAGUUACAAGUCUGUGGCCCAGGGGGUUGAAGACCCCUGCCCUAGAGUACAUAUGCAGUGGAUGUUGAGAAACAGAUUAAUUCAUUAAUGCAGAGUCUUCAUAUUCCAAACAAAAGAUUUGAGGGUUUUAUCUGUUAUAACAACACUUGUGUUUCACUAAUUAUGUCAGGCACGACUCUAAUAACUUCAAAUUUAUUCACUCACCUAUUAUUAGAACAACAUUAUGAUAUAGGAAUACACUUGAUAUGUCCAUUAUACUGAUGAGGAGAUUCAGACAUAGAGUAGUUAUUUAACUUGGGUAAGGUCUUCAGAGCUAAUAAGAGGAAGAACCAGGACUUGAGCAUGGGUAGGGUGGCUUCAGAGUGGUAGUCUGGCUGUUUGUUUGUAAUCACCAAAAUGAAGCUACAGUGAUGUUUCAGUUUACAUAACAGAGUCCUGAGGCUUAAAGAUGCCAGGAAAUUAAUUUAAAGAUAUUGUAGUACGUAUCCCUGUCCAGACUAGAACUCCAGUCCAGGAGAACGCCAGUGCUCCUUCUGUUUCACAUAGAGAACACAUCAGUACUGUGACACACAGAAAGGUUUUAGUGGGAUGCUUGGUUAAGAGAAAUACGUUUACAACAAAAGAGGUGAUACUGUUGCUUGUCUUAGAAAAAUAUGGGAGACCUCAAUCAGCUGAAGUUCAACAUGUUCAAAGGUGGACAAAGUUUCUCGUUGCUCUAAGUAAGUUUAAAAUUGAGCCAAAAAGGUCUUGAUUGAUAAGGGUGGCUGAUACAUUUUUGAAUGUUUUCACUGGCAUGAUUCACAAAAUUGUAUAAAUUGUAUAGUCCCAGGCUAUCCCACCAUUAACUGCCUCAUGGGGACUGUCUCUAACUUCCCCAGGACUUGAUCCAUAGGGAAAUGCUUGCAAGAAUAAAAAGCAUUAAUGAAUUCAGGAUUCGUUUCUCACUAAACAGCAGUUUGGGGUGAUGUCACACACACACACACACACACACACACACAAAAAUGGAACAAGCCAGCCCCAUUUUCAGCAUUGCCUCAUUUAAGCUUGGCACACAAAGACAAUUGAUGCUGACUCAGAGUUAUUUCAAGAUGGAAAGAGUGUCCUGAAUUAUCACACCCCACGUAAUCCUAGCCACCCUGUAUUCCUUCUCCUUACUGUCCCAUAGGUGGGUACAUCCAUCCCAGAUAACAAGGUUUGACUCAUUUAAGGCCCUUUUCCUUCUGCACAAGAUCCUGAAAUUUUCCCUACCGUGUGUGUUUGAUGGUGCAGAAGAAAUAAUUCUCAAAAAUAAACUAGUUUAUCAUUAGAUGGAAGCAAGGUAUCACCUUUAUUAAUGAGAAAGCAGAGUUUGAAGGACAUAGUGCAUUCCUCAUGCAGCUAGACCCUCUGCUAUUGGCUCCUGCCUUUAAAUUAGAAAGCCUUACUUUUCCAUCUGCAGGUAUUGCUAUCCCUUUACAAGCCUCUGCUCCCACGGAAAGAAAAUUGUGCAACAUACGACAAAAAGCAAUAGAGGCUUCAGACUCUCCAAAAAGAAAAAGAAAUUAUGUCAAGAAUGUAGUUUAUUAUUUCCCAAUUGACUCUAAGAUUAAAUUGACUCUAAGAUUAGUCAGUAACUUUUCCAUGAUGUAAUGAGUAAUGAGACAGAGAGAAGCAGAGUGUUCCACUAAUUGAUCUCAAUCCACAAGAAAGGAAAAGUAUUUCCUCCUUCCUUCCUCCACAUUGUGUUCUCUUAGAACUGUGCUUUACUUGCCCAGGGAAAAGAACACAAGUUGAGUUUAAGAAGCCAGUUCUUCCCAUUCCAAGAUGAGGCCCCACAUCCAAUGCUAACACUACUUCUUGGAGUGAAUACACUUUAGAACUAUCAAUGAAUGAACUGAGCUGAACUUCCCCAACCCCUGUAGACUCUAAAAUGGGUCAGAAGAGCACAUUGGUUAAAACAAGUCUAAGGCUGAAAAUUUAAUCUCUAUUUGAUUUUCUGGCUUACAUUUUUUUUCUCAGUAACCUUGCCAAAAUAGCCUAGUAGGAGAUCCAUUUUGAACUUGAGUGAUAACAUAAUUAUACUCGAAUCACAAAAUGUCAAUAAUGAGAUGACCCACAUUUAAAUAACAUAUUUUUUUGCUACUAUAACAUUACUGGGCCUAUAUUAAAAUAGAAAGAUUAAAUUAUUUUGCAACUUACUUAAAGUAUAAAUAUAAUGCUUCCAAAGAAUUAAGGGCCAAAUCAUUUUUUUUCCUGAUACUUGUGAGGUAAAAUUUAACAGAUUUUAAAGUCCCCACUCAUUUAAUUUUUUGGCCACUUGGUGUCAGCUGGAAGAGUUCUCAAUACAUUGGACAAGACAGUGAUCUCUAAGCAUUUGAAAAUUGAGCUCUUUCUCAUUGGAAGGGGUGUAUUUUCUUCUUCAUGGUCUCAGAGGUUGUAUUUGUUUAACACUGAGUCUCUGAAGUUCUUCACUAUUUAAAAAAUUCCAAGAAGUUACUGUUAAAGAAAAGAUUAUCAUAGCAAUGGCAUUUAUUCUGAGAACUGGAUAAACAGCAAUCCAUCACGGCUUCUAGAAGAGUUUUCACAGAGAAAAAUAUUUUCAACCUGAUCAUUUGUAUUGCCAAAGACUGCGGCAGAAACUUAGUAUUGUGCUAAAAGAAGAUGGAUAUCUUGGUGGAGACCUUGCUGGCAUAUCAUUCAGUUCAUGCUAUUUUUAAAAAAUCUAAUAAUUGAAAUUUUAACUCAGUUGGAAAACUUUCUCACCAAGAUAUUCAUUCUGGAAUUUUUUACUAUAUCAAUAAAAUUUACUUAUAACUACUGCCUGAUAAGUCAGAAUGGAUUUGCUUGCUUUUCCACUCAUAACAUUCAAAAGCUCCUGGCUUCCAUGUCUGCUGAAUGGGGAUUCUACAAAGUAAAUGGAGUUCCCCACACUUUCUUAUGAUAAAGAAUUUUUCAGUUCUGAAAUACUAAGGCUGCUUCUCCUUCAUUUAAUUUAUCUUUCAAAUUUUUAAGACAUAUAAAAAUAUCCCUUCUUUGAGAGGGUUUCCCCUCUUAUAAGUAAUUAAGAGAUACAGAAUUAAUUUAUCACAAGAUAGUGUUGAUAGCAGGAGGGUGAGUUAGUUGAUACUUGACCCCAUGGAAAAGCUGGUUGAUAUGGUUGACUGUGUUCCCACCCAAAUCUCAUCUUGAAUUGUAUUCCCCAUAAUUCUCACAUAUUGAGGGAUGGACCUGGUGGGAGGCGACUGGAUUAUAGGAGCAGUUUCCCCCAUGCUGUUCUCGUGAUAGUGAGUUCUC